CCACAGGGAGGUCCAUGCAAACGCACCCUUCCUUAUAAACAACACCAACACCGUGUGAAGUCGACCACAGAGCAGUGGACCGACCUUUAUUACACCAUGAAAAAUCCUGUUGUGUGGAGUUUCCUAUUUGCUCUCAUCCACGGAGCUUCUGGUGAGAUCAGACUGGAUCAGUCCCCUCCUGAGGUGAAACGACCUGGAGAAACAGUGAAGAUGUCAUGUGCCACGUCUGGUUUCAGCAUGACAGACUACUACAUUCACUGGAUACGGCAGCGACCAGGAGAAGCUCUGGUGUGGGUCGGGAGGAUGGAUGCAGGCAAAAAUGCUGCCAUUUAUGGCAGCUCCUUCCAAGGCCGAUUCCUCAUGACGGAAAACGUUCCCAGCAGCACUCAGUACCUGGAGAUCAAGAGUCUCACAGCAGCCGAUGCUGCUGUUUACUACUGUGCUCGAAGCCACAGUGACUGAGGGCAGUGGAGCAGCU